UGAACACUGACCAAGGAGCAGCAAGCAAGAACUAACCAAUCACAAUACGCUCACCGUGACUGUUUUCACCCUCUCUCCCGCUACAUGAAGCCAGGUAGUCUGACACCAUGGCAGACUACCAUUACAACUGCCACUUUGAAC